CAGGAGAGUACGGACGGAGGUCGUCGAUAGCGUGUUUAGCACAGAAGCCGGCUGCUGGUUUGUGACAAGAAGUGGUUAAUGCUGCACAUAGCCAAGUUACUACCGUAUUUUACCGUAGUCAUUAAAAUUAAGUACGGUAUACACAAGUCGCAGGUAUAAGCUUGUGAAAAUUGCUCGGCAGUCGCUGGUGUGAAUAUUACCAGACUAUCAGCUUAAUAAGUCAUGUUUGAAGAAUACUAACAGGAAUUCCUUACAGAAGUAUAGAAAACUGGUAGAAGCUGAACUUGGAGGAGAUCAUUUUGGAUUUCGAAGGAAUGUUAAACACGUGAGGCAACACUGACCCUAAGACUUGUCUUAAAAGAUUUUGAAAAUGGCAGCUGUGCAACAUCAGUCAAGCAAGUACCAACUGCUAUGCAUAGUUCAACUUCAGUUGGUAGGAAAUACACAGACAUUUCUCAGAAAGGUAUGCAAGAAGUUCCAGUGAGUUACCAAAGGGGUUCUGAAACU